rnacentral:rRNA from 1 species
CCGCGGUAAUACGAAGGAUCCAAGCGUUAUCCGGAUUUAUUGGGUUUAAAGGGUGCGUAGGCGGCUUAUUAAGUCAGUGGUGAAAGCCUGAAGCUCAACUUCAGAAUUGCCAUUGAUACUGAUGAGCUUGAGUAUAGUUGAGGUGGGCGGAAUGUGUCAUGUAGCGGUGAAAUGCUUAGAUAUGACACAGAACACCGAUUGCGAAGGCAGCUCACUAAGCUAUAACUGACGCUGAUGCACGAAAGCGUGG